GAAAGUGAAAGCCUAAACCCUGGCAAAACAGGGAAAUAUUGUGAACUACUUUAUAACACCAAGCGGCGGCCAGUCUUAUGUGAAUGAAGCGAAGCAAU